rfam:Saccharicrinis fermentans DSM 9555 = JCM 21142 DNA, contig: JCM21142.contig00171.
UGUAGCGUAGCGGAAAUCACGAAAUUCACUAAAAUUAGACCUUUUGAGCUAAAUCGUAUAUGAGGCUUUGUAAACCGGAUGAGCAAGCACAUCAUUGUGACGUCCAAACACCAAGGAGGUGAGUGUUUAUAAAGUAGAUGCGGCAGGCAUUGGAGGUUAUUUGU